rnacentral:rRNA from 1 species
AGCGUUAUCCGGAAUUAUUGGGCGUAAAGAGCUCGUAGGCGGUCUGUCGCGUCUGCUGUGAAAUCUGGGGGCUCAACCCCCAGCCUGCAGUGGGUACGGGCAGACUAGAGUGCGGUAGGGGAGAUUGGAACUCCUGGUGUAGCGGUGGAAUGCGCAGAUAUCAGGAAGAACACCGAUGGCGAAGGCAGAUCUCUGGGCCGUAACUGACGCUGAGGAGCGAAAGCAUGGGGAGCGAACAGG